GCCGUGAGGUGUUGGGUUAAGUCCCGCAACGAGCGCAACCCCUGGCGUAUGUUUCACGUGUCAUGCGCAACAGCCGGCGCAAGCCGGAGGAAGGUGGGGAUGACGUCAAGUCAGCAUGGUCCUUAUGGCCAGGGCUACACACACGCUACAAUGGCCGGUACAAUGGGUCGCCACACCGCGAGGUGGAGCUAAUCCAGAAAGUCGGUCUCAGUUCGGAUUGGAGUCUGCAACUCGACUCCAUGAAGGCGGAGUUGCUAGUAACCGCAGGUCAGCCAUACUGCGGUGAAUACGUUCCCGGGCCUUGUACACACCGCCCGUCACGUCAUGGGAGUCGGCCACACUUGAAGUCGGUUUAGGGAUGCAACCCGGCUGCCUAGAGUGGGGCUGGCGACUGGGACGAAGUCGUAACAAGGUAGCUGUACCGGAAGGUGCGGCUGGAUCACCUCCUUUCUACGGAGACAGUGGACGGUCAAACGUCCACGCAUUGCUCCGCGGCGGGCGUCCUUCGGGAUGCCCAGCCUAGGGUACCCUUCGAGGUGCCCAGGGCGCCCUAACCGGUGCCAUGACCUCCUUCGUGAGGUCGGACCUCCCUGGUCAUGCCCCGUCCUUCGGGACAAGGCGUCACCUCGGAUGUCACCCGACCCCUGCUCGCAGUCGGUCGGUCAGGUCUCCUGCCUCGGCAGAUGACCAUCCCCUCUUCUUCCUCUCUUCUUUGUUGGUAAGGUGCCUGCGCGGGCUGAAGAUCGCGGCCGUCAAUGUGUUCCAGGCUUGCGAGCCGGCUGGCUUUCGGGGCUGUAGCUCAGUUGGGAGAGCGCCUGAUUUGCAUUCAGGAGGUCAGGGGUUCGAAUCCCCUCAGCUCCACCAUCACUACCGGGUGCGUCGCCGAAAUGGCCGCGAAAUUUGACACCCGACAUAAUUUGGCUAUCAUUGCCCUUCCUGCCGUUCGAACGGUGACCCGUGGCCGCCAGAGACUCUGGCGAACAAGGGUCAGCGGUUGAAUCGCUGAGCAGGACGCCCGCCCUCCGUACGGAGGUGGGGAUGAUACCUUAACAGCUGAACAAGAGCCGAGGAAUCUCUAGCGGAAGAUGUACGUGAGAAGCUACAAAGGGCACACGGGGGAUGCCUUGGCACGGCAGGCCGAUGAAGGGCGUAGUUGGCUGCGAUAAGCCUCGGGGAGUUGCCAGCAAACGGUGAUCCGAGGAUUC
rnacentral:sRNA from 1 species